rnacentral:sRNA from 1 species
AAUUAGCCCCGAUUGAAGCUAGCUACCGUGUAGCGCGGAAAGCGGGAACAUGG